rnacentral:tRNA from 5 species
GGGCGAGUGGCGCAAUUGGUAGACGCGCAUGGCUUAGGACCAUGUUCCGCAAGGAUUGAGGGUUCGAGUCCCUCCUCGCCCACCA